rnacentral:rRNA from 1 species
AUUGAACGCUGGCGGCAUGCCUUACACAUGCAAGUCGAACGGCAGCACGGGUGCUUGCACCUGGUGGCGAGUGGCGAACGGGUGAGUAAUACAUCGGAACGUACCUUAUCGUGGGGGAUAACGCAGCGAAAGCUGUGCUAAUACCGCAUACGCCCUGAGGGGGAAGGCGGGGGAUCGCAAGACCUCGCGCGAUUAGAGCGGCCGAUGCCUGAUUAGCUUGUUGGUGGGGUAAAAGCCCACCAAGGCGACGAUCAGGAGCUGGUCUGAGAGGACAAUCAGCCAGACUGGAACGGAGACACGACCCAGACUCCUACGGGAGGCAGCAGUGGGGAAUUUUGGACAAUGGGCGAAAGCCUGAGCCAGCCAUUCCGCGUGCAGGACGAAGGCCUUCGGGUUGUAAACUGCUUUUGUACAGAACGAAAAGCUUGUCGCUAAUACCGACAAAUUAUGACGGUACUGUAAGAAUAAGCACCGGCUAACUACGUGCCAGCCGCCGCAGUAA